rnacentral:rRNA from 1 species
GAUGAACGCUGGCGGCGUGCCUAACACAUGCAAGUCGAGCGAUUCUCUUCGGAGAAGAGCGGCGGACGGGUGAGUAACGCGUGGGUAACCUGCCCUGUACACACGGAUAACAUACCGAAAGGUAUGCUAAUACGGGAUAACAUAUUUUAGUCGCAUGACUGAAAUAUCAAAGCUCCGGCGGUACAGGAUGGACCCGCGUCUGAUUAGCUAGUUGGUAAGGUAAUGGCUUACCAAGGCGACGAUCAGUAGCCGACCUGAGAGGGUGAUCGGCCACAUUGGAACUGAGACACGGUCCAAACUCCUACGGGAGGCAGCAGUGGGGAAUAUUGCACAAUGGGCGAAAGCCUGACGCAGCGACAUCGCGUGAAGGAUGACGGUCCUCGGAUUGUAAACUUCAAUAGUCUAUUAAAAAAUCUUGAUUGAUAGAUGAAAGCCCUGGCUAACCACGUGCCAGCAGCCGCGGUAA